UAAGUAUUUGAGGGCGAGGGUCACACUGGACCGAGCAGAUUGGCCACAGUUAUCCAGGGAAAUGCCACGCAGGCGACGGGCACACUCAGCAUCGGACGCAUCGGACUCACUGCGAUCAGCCUUGAUCGUCGACUCCUUCUGGGAACGGUUAAAGCGACAAGUUUAGGAAGCUUGGCGGUGCUUCCACUGGACUACAGGAGACGUACUUACAUACGUAUGGCGUCACCUAAUCCUGAGGAGCUUCAAGGGAUAAGACGGGAAGUGCGAACCAACCGGUAGUUGAGCGGCAUGCCGAAGACACUUCGGACUCGCGAUUGAAUCCGGAUGGAUUAACAAUGAUCGAGCCAAUUCAACUACGAUGCAAUGACAGGCUUACCCAGAUCCUACGACCCGAAUAUGACGAUCUUACUUUGGCAACCUGGUGCUUGGAUAUCCGAUGCCUCUCCCUCGGCCCAAGUCCUAUUCCGGUACGAGGGCACUAAUUCGCAGACGUAACAACGCUAUUCUUUAAAAAGGUACGGAAGCUGUUCUUUAAUAAGACUCGGAAGCUGAUUCUAAACAUGUAAAAUUUAAGUAACAGAGUAAGCUAACGCGUUAAAAUAU
rnacentral:sRNA from 13 species